UGGCUACAAAAUAACUUAUUUUGUAGCCACUUUGAGUUACAAUAAUUACUAUAUUAGUUUACAAGCUUAUAGUAACUCCUUACUAAGUGGUUUACUAUAACAUUACGGUAAAUAUCUCCAUGUGUUAUAAUAACUCAAGUUCGUAAAUAUGUAUACAUAUUAUCGUAAAUUAGUAUAUUAAAUUAUUGUAAAUGGAGGUGGCUACAGAAGGUGGAGUGCUGGCUG
rnacentral:pre_miRNA from 1 species